GUCAGGGUGGCCGAGCGGUCUAAGGCGCUGCGUUCAGGUCGCAGUCUCCGUGGGUUCGAAUCCCACUCCUGACA